GCAUAACAUUCUGGGGGAGCGGUCCUAGCGCAAUACGUGUGCUUCUCCUGCAGAAAAGGAUUGUUAGAAUUAUAUGCAAUGAAAACUACCUGGCACAUUGCAAACCUUUGUUUAUUGAAACUGGAAUACUAACACUCCCAGCCCUCCUUAUCUUUGAAUCAGCUCUGAUGAUUAUUUCCAACCGAACCAACAUAAUUAUACAUUGAUACAACACAAGACGACAUCAUGACACCCAUAUACUGGCAGUGAUAACUGGACUGGCGCAAAAGGGGCCCAGAUACUUAUGCAGCAGGAUUUACAACCAUCUCCCAGAAGAAAUAAAACAUAUUGAAAGCAUAGGUGCCUUCAAGAACCUACUGAAGAGGCACCUACAACAAAGACCAUACUAUAGCCUGCAGGAAUUCUAUGAUGACAGGUUCCGCAGGGCCAACCAAUGACAACCACGGCGCUGUCACGCUAGUGGGAUAUCUACAAGUAUCAAGUAAGUAAGUAUUGAAUGAGCGUUAGCGAGUCGUUGUCCGUCUGUUUGUAUUGUUCUAAAUAACUUGAAGAUAAUAAGAAAAAAAUGGUUGUGAUUUAGUCAGCUAAAGAAUUCAUUGCAUGUAAUUACUACAGUUUUUUUUUCAUUCAUUCAUACAUCCAUUCAUAACGUCAGUUGAGGCUACUUGGGAGCUAUCACACAGAUAGUCAUGAAUACAUGCGCAGACACAUGAUUUCAGCUGAUUAAUAUGCAACAUAAUUACAACUUUUACAUCAACAAAACUGAUAGGGGUUGAGAUAUCAAUGUGCGGUUUUCUCCAUUUUCUCUUGAAACUCUGUAUCGAAAUCAUGUAUCACAUGACCACCUCCUCAUUAUAAAAAAUGAGUAUGGAUGCAUAUGAGGGACAAAAGAUGUUGAAGCGACAGAUUAAUUUUUCAUUCCAAAUAGGAUCCUCAAUCAAACCUCCUGUCAAAUUAUUCUUGUUAGAUAAAUAUUCAGCUGUUUCCAUGAUUUUCAUCAACUCUGUGUAGUUAAAAGUUGCUGGUUUCAAAGAUUAGAAUACAACAGUUCUUGAGCGAGUUCUCCAAUCCAGGGGGUCACUAAUACACUAUUCAUAGAGUCUUCAUAGACUCUUCAUGAAAAAAGAACUGUACGAGAAGGAAACUUCUUCCUCUUUUACAUAUUAAUUAUAUCUACCAGCUACAUUCAAGGAAUGUAGAAUAGAAUGUGAUCUAGAUACACAUUUGAUUAAAUUUAAUGUAUGUUUUAUCAGCUGAUAUAAUAUCUUUAUAGUGAUUUUAAUCACUAGUGGCAUAAUGUAUUUUUUGGUUAGAAUUCAAAAUUUUGUGGUAAAAAGUCUAGUUUAUCAAUGUUUCUAAAUUUUUACAGUUUUUGUAACACCUAAUAUUAAAUGCUAUGAAAUUAUUGUUAUAAGAAAAAAAAUGAAACUUACAUCACUUUGUUUUCUCUAUUCAAAGUUACAUUCAACCAAAUUUCUUCAUAACAAAUGUACAAUCUACCCAAAUAUUAUUGCUUUUAAUAGACACUUGACAAGCAAAGGAAGGUUUAAUAUUAAGACAAAAAGUACCGGCGGAUCAGAUCAUUUUCAAUCAGAAAGGACAAUUGAACAACAUAAACAGAAUGUUGAUGAUGGCAUCAUGUCAAAAUACUAUGCUUUUGAUGAUUCUACGCACUCAAAUAAACAUAUCCAUGAAAUGAGGAUGAAUAAUAACAUUGUUCUUGCUCAACUUGGUAAUGAUUAUAUUUCAAAACAGCUAAUGAAAGGAUUGUUCGUUAUUCAUGGGAUUGUCUUAUCAAAUCCAUUUAAUUACAUUUUCCAAGAGGACAAUAUCUUUCUAGUUUACAAAAUUCUUGGAAUUCAACCAGAGUAUAAAAUACUAGAAAAUUCAUGUGAUGUACUGGGACGUGAUAACUGCUAUUUGUCUUAUUGUGGGUUAUAUAAUCUGUCACAUAAUCAACAGGUAUACCCAUCUCAAAAUCUUUGCUCUAGUCGAAAAAAUAUUUUCAAUAAUCGCCUUGUUUUUACAUCACUGAAAAUGCCAAAUUUAUCAAACAGCCAGCAGAACUAUAGCUGCGGAAAUUGCAGAAACUCACAGGAAAGUAAAAGUUCAGGAAAAUCUGAUGUCAUAGAGAGAGAAAAUCAUAGUGGUCUUCUCACUUGUAAUAAGGGGGGUCAGAGUGGCCAAGAUUCAAGUAAUACCAGUGGUGAUGGUAAAGAUGAAGGACUACUCACAUGCAGAAGAGUUGGCAAGAUUAUUGAGCAAGAAAAAAAAUUAGAGGAGAAGGUGGAAAAGGUGGAGAAAAGAAAAGAACUUGAAGGUGAGUGGAAGAAUUUGUGUAGAAGGUGCAUACCAACUAAAGACAACAUUACUUUGGCCAGAACCUCAUUGUGGCGGAGAAUAAUCAAUAGAUUGCGAGGAAACAACAUGGAUGGAAUGUUACAGAGGUAUUUAGGUAAUGCUCCAGCUCCAUUCAUUAGGAAAAGCCUGGCUGAACGUAGAAGAGAGCUGGGUGAAGAUUUUCCAAAACCUGUUGUGAAAUGUAUUUGCAUCGGAAAAAAGAGAGUUAAGAAAACUGCCGUAAGCCUAUUGCCUGGAAAGGAUGAAAAAUCAAAUCAGCUAGCUGGAGAUUUGACUUUAGAUGAUAGAAAAUUGAAUCAACAGGCUGAAGAAUUCAAUAAAAGAUUGGAUAAGCAGACAGGAGAAUUGAAUAUAGUAAAUAGGGAAUUGAAUCAUAAAACAGGUUUGGCUUAAGAUAAUAAGUUGAAUAAUCGAAUUAAAGAAUUAACCUUGGAAGAUAGAAAAUUGAAUAAGCAAAUUGAAGAAUUGAGUGGGGAGAGCAAAAAAUUGAAACGAGAUAUAGUUGGAUGAUUAGUGUUAUAAUUAGAUGCCGUGCAAAAAAAUUGUAUUUGUUCUCGUUUGAACUCGUCUAAACUUCAAAUUAAUAUAAAUGUAUUAAUUAAAAAAUGAUUUAUAAAUGCUGUAUGGAAUUUUUAGAGAUACAGUAUUUUUUCUAGUUUCAUCAAAAUAUUGAAAUUUCUAUGCUAACACUGUGAUUCAUAUUUGUUAAUUAUCAAGAUCUACUAUUAUAAAAUCUUGUUGACGUGAAAAAGGAAUUAAUUAUUAUCUGGAAAAUAGGAGAAAAUAAUAUUUAUAAAUAAAAUAUUAUCUUGAGAUAUUUUUAGCAUAUUGCUUUUGUUUUGCAAAGUCAAUUUGUUGAAAAGAGCUGGCGAUUUAAGAUGUUUGGAAGGGGAUCCUGCAUAUUAUAACCAAUUGAGCCAAUUCCACUUCGCAAUUUGAAAGGAGGUCGGCAAAAUUCUCAGUCUAUGAAGGGAGUUGUACAGUGUCUUGAAGUUGGAGAAUCGCUGCUUCAAAGGUGUUGAAUAAGCAGAUUUCUUUGUAGUGGAAUUGGUGAAGUCUGUAGUGAAAUCAUUCUUCCUUCUAGAGAGUUCAUAAUAGCGACCAAAGUCUCGUUGUUAUCGACUGAAAUGUGGUACUCGUCAAACAUGUUCACAUGAACUAGUUCUUGAUUCCCAGAAAUUCACGUUUUUCGACCAUUCUAAUCAGUCUUGGAAAAGUUCAAAGAUACACUGUGAAUUGUUGAUGCAAUACAGUGACAUCAAUCUAUCUCAAACUAUUGUUCGAGUUGCAUGAAAAACGCUUUCAUGCUGUUUUGAGAAUAUUCAAGUGAAACUAAUU
rnacentral:misc_RNA from 1 species